UGCAUUCACUACUGUAAGUCGCGCUGGAUAAGAGCGUCUGCUAAAUGACUAAAA
rfam:Salmo salar isolate Sally breed double haploid chromosome ssa10, whole genome shotgun sequence.